GGAUCAGUGGGGAACGGGUGAGUAACACGUGAGCAAUCUGCCCCUGACUCUGGGAUAAGCGCUGGAAACGGCGUCUAAUACCGGAUACCAACUGCGACCGCAUGGUCAGUAGCUGGAAAGAAUUUCGGUCAGGGAUGAGCUCGCGGCCUAUCAGCUUGUUGGUGAGGUAAUGGCUCACCAAGGCGUCGACGGGUAGCCGGCCUGAGAGGGUGACCGGCCACACUGGGACUGAGACACGGCCCAGACUCCUACGGGAGGCAGCAGUGGGGAAUAUUGCACAAUGGGCGAAAGCCUGAUGCAGCAACGCCGCGUGAGGGAUGACGGCCUUCGGGUUGUAAACCUCUUUUAGCAGGGAAGAAGCGAAAGUGACGGUACCUGCAGAAAAAGCGCCGGCUAACUACGUGCCAGCAGCCGCGGUAAUACGUAGGGCGCAAGCGUUAUCCGGAAUUAUUGGGCGUAAAGAGCUCGUAGGCGGUCUGUCGCGUCUGCUGUGAAAACCCGAGGCUCAACCUCGGGCCUGCAGUGGGUACGGGCAGACUACAGUGCGGUAGGGGAGAUUGGAAUUC
rnacentral:rRNA from 1 species